GCCUGGCCCUAAAUCUUGAUGCUUAACCUUACCGAAGCAUCCGCCCGAGAACUACGAGCGCAAACGCUUAAAACUCUAAGGACUUGGCGGUGCCCCAAACCCACCUAGAGGAGCCUGUUCUGUAAUCGAUGAUCCACGAUAGACCUGACCAUUUCUUGCCAAAACAGCCUAUAUACCGCCGUCGCCAGCCCACCCACCAUGAAGGACCAACAGUGGACGCAAUAGCCCCAUCCCGCUAAUACGACAGGUCAAGGUAUAGCCUAUGAAAUGGGAGCAAUGGGCUACAUUUUCUAGAUUAGAACACAACGGCAAAGGGACAUGAAACAGUCCCUGGAAGGAGGAUUUAGCAGUAAAGUGGGACAAUCGAGCCCUCUUUAAGCCGGCUCUGGGRNHVRU
rnacentral:rRNA from 1 species